rnacentral:ncRNA from 1 species
AUGCAAAUUUUUGUGUGGGAUGUUAUUUAUUUAAAAAGUAAAUAAUUUAUUUAUAUUCGCAGUAAUUAAUAUUAUAAAUUAAAGAAAUUUAGAAGUAGGUAUAUUAUUAAACAUUGGCAAAAUUUGUGCCAGCAGUCGCGGUUAUACAAAUGAUGUAAAAAAAUUUAUUUAAUAUUAGUUAAAUUGUUAAUUUUAAAAAUUAAAAAUAUUUAUUAGGUGAAAUUUUUUAUAUUUUUAACUUUAUAAUAUGAAUUAUUGAAGCUAACAAAUUUUAAUAGUAAACUAGGAUUAGAUACCCUAUUAUUUAAAAUGUAAAUUUAUAAAUUGAAGUAGUAAUAGAUAUGUUCUUGAAACUUAAAAAAUUUGGCGGUAUUUUAGUCUAUUCAGAGGAAUUUGUUCUGUAAUCGAUGAUCCCCGAUGGACCUUACUUAUAUUUGUUUAUCAGUUUAUAUACCGUCGUUAUUAGAAAGAAUAUUUUAAAAAAAUAAUAAUUUUCUUAAAUUUACAUUAAAACAUAUAUCAGAUCAAGGUGCAGCUUAUAUAUAAGUAGAAAUGAAUUACAAUAAAAUUAUUUAAACGAAUUUAAGAAUGAAAAACUUAAUGAAGGUGGAUUUGAUAGUAAAAUUAUAAAGAUUAAUGAUUUGAUUUUAGCUCUAAAAUAUGUACACAUCGCCCGUCGCUCUUAUUAUUAAGAUAAGAUAAGUCGUAACAUAGUAGAAGUACUGGAAAGUGUAUCUAGAAUG